GGUAGUGUGGCCGAGCCUUUUAAGGCGCUGGAUUUAGGCUCCAGUCUCCUCGGAGGCGUUGGUUCAAAUCCCACCACUGCCA
rnacentral:tRNA from 1 species